UACGGAGGGGGCGAGCGUUAUUCGGAAUUAUUGGGCGUAAAGGGCGCGUAGGCGGCGCGAUAAGUCAAAGGUGAAAUCCCUCGGCUCAACUGAGGAACUGCCUUUGAGACUGUCGAGCUCGAGGCCGGGAGGGGGUAGCGGAAUUCCCAGUGUAGCGGUGAAAUGCGUAGAUAUUGGGAGGAACACCAGUGGCGAAGGCGGCUACCUGGACAAUUGCUGACGCUCAGGCACGAAAGCGUGGGGAGCAAAAGGG
rnacentral:rRNA from 1 species